rnacentral:rRNA from 1 species
GAUGAACGCUGGCGGCGUGCCUAAUACAUGCAAGUCGAGCGAACAGACGAGGAGCUUGCUCCUUUGACGUUAGCGGCGGACGGGUGAGUAACACGUGGGUAACCUACCUAUAAGACUGGGAUAACUUCGGGAAACCGGGGCUAAUACCGGAUAAUAUUUCGAACCGCAUGGUUCGAUAGUGAAAGAUGGCUUUGCUAUCACUUAUAGAUGGACCUGCGCCGUAUUAGCUAGUUGGUAAGGUAACGGCUUACCAAGGCAACGAUACGUAGCCGACCUGAGAGGGUGGUCGGCCACACUGGAACUGAGACACGGUCCAGACUCCUACGGGAGGCAGCAGUAGGGAAUCUUCCGCAAUGGGCGAAAGCCUGACGGAGCAACGCCGCGUGAGUGAUGAAGGUCUUCGGAUCGUAAAACUCUGUUAUUAGGGAAGAACAAACGUGUAAGUAACUGUGCACGUCUUGACGGUACCUAAUCAGAAAGCCACGGCUAACUACG